rnacentral:rRNA from 1 species
GGAUUCCCCUAGUAACUGCGAGUGAAGCGGGAAAAGCUCAAAUUUAAAAUCUGACAGUUUUUGACUGUCCGAGUUGUAAUCUAGAGAAGUGUUGCCUGUGCUGGACCAUGUACAAGUCUUCUGGAAUGGAGCAUCAUAGAGGGUGAGAAUCCCGUCUUUGACAUGGACUANCCAGUAUGUUAUGGUAUGCUCUCAAAGAGUCGAGUUGUUUGGGAAUGCAGCUCAAAAUGGGUGGUAAAUGCCAUCUAAAGCUAAAUAUUGGCGAGAGACCGAUAGCGAACAAGUACCGUGAGGGAAAGAUGAAAAGAACUUUGGAAAGAGAGUUAAACAGUACGUGAAAUUGCUGAAAGGGAAACGCUUGAAGUCAGUCAUGUUGACCAGAAAUCAGCCUUGCUUCUGCUUGGUGUACUUUCUGGUUUGACAGGUCAGCAUCAAUUUUGACCACUGGAUAAAGGCUUUGGGAAUGUGGCAUCUUUUGAUGUGUUAUAGCCCAUGGUCACAUACAGUGGUUGGGAUUGAGGAACUCAGCACACCACAAAGGCCGGGUUUCGACCACGUUUGUGCUUAGGAUGCUGGCAUAAUGGCUUUAAUCGACCCGUCUUGAAACACGGACCAAGGAGUCUAACAUGCCUGCGAGUGUUUGGGUGAAAAACCCAUGCGCGUAAUGAAAGUGAAAGUUAAGAUCCUGUCAAAGGAGCAUUGACGCCCGGACCAGACCUUUUGUGACGGAUCCGCGGUAGAGCAUGUAUGUUGGGACCCGAAAGAUGGUGAACUAUGCCUGAAUAGGGUGAAGCCAGAGGAAACUCUGGUGGAGGCUCGUAGCGAUUCUGACGUGCAAAUCGAUCGUCAAAUUUGGGUAUAGGGGCGAAAGACUAAUCGAACC